rnacentral:lncRNA from 10 species
AAAGUAAAUGCUCCAAGAAAAGGAGUGAGAGAAUGCUCUUCCUUUAUUUUCAACAGAAGAAUUAAACCUUGUUUUAUUGUGUGGCAAAUGUGAAAUAUCCCAGUAAGGUCAGCUAGGUUUAAAUGCACUUGAGGAUGAAACUCAGCUUGCUGAUAAGGGGAAUGAUUUAGAAUAAAUAUUAAUAGUAAAAGCUUAGACAACAACUUUGUAGAAUGAGUAUACCUCACAAAGCAAAGGAAUUGCCUAAGCUUGCAAUGCUUCAGAAUUUGAUUUUGUGUUCUUCAGUGGCAUAGUGGUUUACCUGAUAGUUCUGUAGAGUUUGUCCAAUUGUACUGCCAUGCAUCUUAUGAUAUUUUGAGCUAAUCCUAGACAUUAAUGGAAGGCAAGUAGGGUUGGUUUUAGCCCUCCUGCUCCCCAGAAUUUUGGACACUCCUUUUUUGUUUUCUUGUCAGGUGUAAGGGUAAGAUCUCUUAUUCUUACAGCUGUUGUUUUUUCCUAUAGUAUAUUGACAAAAGAUCAAAGCCUAUACUUAAUGAAGUUAUUUCUAUUAAAAUGGUGGGAGAGAUGCUGGAAAGCAAAAAUCUGAUAAGCUGUAAUAUUUUGAAUUGGAUCAGGGGCUGACGUGCAAAGAAUGAUUUUACCAUGUUUUCUUUUAGGACCAACUCUGAUGCUGUUUUAU